GAUGAACGCUGGCGGCGUGCCUAAUACAUGCAAGUCGAGCGAACAGACGAGGAGCUUGCUCCUCUGACGUUAGCGGCGGACGGGUGAGUAACGCGUGGAUAACCUACCUAUAAGACUGGGAUAACUUCGGGAAACCGGAGCUAAUACCGGAUAAUAUAUUGAACCGCAUGGUUCAAUAGUGAAAGACGGUUUUGCUGUCACUUAUAGAUGGAUCCGCGCCGCAUUAGCUAGUUGGUAAGGUAACGGCUUACCAAGGCAACGAUGGGUAGCCGACCUGAGAGGGUGAUCGGCCACACUGGAACUGAGACACGGUCCAGACUCCUACGGGAGGCAGCAGUAGGGAAUCUUCCGCAAUGGGCGAAAGCCUGACGGAGCAACGCCGCGUGAGUGAUGAAGGUCUUCGGAUCGUAAAACUCUGUUAUUAGGGAAGAACAAAUGUGUAAGUAACUAUGCACGUCUUGACGGUACCUAAUCAGAAAGCCACGGCUAACUACGUG
rnacentral:rRNA from 1 species